CCCUUAGAUGUUCUGGGCCGCACGCGCGCUACACUGAUGCAUUCAACGAGCCUAUCCUUGACCGACAGGUCCGGGUAAUCUUUGAAUCUGCAUCGUGACGGGGAUAGAUUAUUGCAAUUAUUAAUCUUCAACGAGGAAUGCCUAGUAGGCGCAAGUCAUCAGCUUGCGUCGAUUACGUCCCUGCCCUUUGUACACACCGCCCGUCGCUCCUACCGAUGAAUCGUCCGGUGAAGUUCAUGGAGUGGUGGUUGUUCCAGCUGCUGUCGAAGUGAAAUGGACCUCACGAUUUAGAGGAAGGAGAAGUCGUAACA
rnacentral:rRNA from 1 species